rnacentral:rRNA from 1 species
GAUGAACGCUGGCGGCGUGCCUAAUACAUGCAAGUCGAGCGAACAGACGAGGAGCUUGCUCCUCUGACGUUAGCGGCGGACGGGUGAGUAACACGCGGAUAACCUACCUAUAAGACUGGGAUAACUUCGGGAAACCGGAGCUAAUACCGGAUAAUAUAUUGAACCGCAUGGUUCAAUAGUGAAAGACGGUUUUGCUGUCACUUAUAGAUGGAUCCGCGCCGCAUUAGCUAGUUGGUAAGGUAACGGCUUACCAAGGCAACGAUGCGUAGCCGACCUGAGAGGGUGAUCGGCCACACUGGAACUGAGACACGGUCCAGACUCCUACGGGAGGCAGCAGUAGGGAAUCUUCCGCAAUGGGCGAAAGCCUGACGGAGCAACGCCGCGUGAGUGAUGAAGGUCUUCGGAUCGUAAAACUCUGUUAUUAGGGAAGAACAAAUGUGUAAGUAACUAUGCACGUCUUGACGGUACCUAAUCAGAAAGCCACGGCUAACCACGUG